CCUCUCUGUACAUCACUUUGACAAUAAAUAAGAAAAUAGAAGGGGGGAAAAGACAACUCUGUAAUUUUUUAAAAUAAGCAUUUCUUGCAAAUCAAAACUCUGAGAUUUCAUCUCAUGGCAGUCACAAUGGUUAUUGUAGAAACGAUUAACAAUAAAUGAUAAUUAGGAUGUGGGGGAGAACGGCUUCUAAUACAUUGUUGGUGGGAAUGUAAGCUAAUACAACCACUAUGGCAAUCAAUAUGGAGAUAUCCAAAAACUAAAAAUACAACUACUUUAUGAUCCAGAAAUAACACUCCUGGGCUUUAAUCCCAAGAUAUAGUAAGACAGGAUCCAAUAAUGGAAUCUGAACACCUAUGUCCAUUGUAGCAGUAUUCACAACAGCUAAGUUAUAGAAACAGCCCAGAUGCUCUACAAUGGAUAAAUGGAUUAAGAAACUUAUUAUAUAUG